GACGAACGCUGGCGGCGUGCCUAAUACAUGCAAGUCGAACGCAGUUGCGAACGGGUGAGUAACGCGUAUGUAACCUGCCUCAUAGCGGGGGAUAACUAUUGGAAACGAUAGCUAAUACCGCAUACUGUGAGAUGGACCUCCGUUGUAUUAGCUAGUUGGUGAGGUAAAGGCUCACCAAGGCGACGAUACAUAGCCGACCUGAGAGGGUGAUCGGCCACACUGGGACUGAGACACGGCCCAGACUCCUACGUGAGGCAGCAGUGGGGAAUAUUGGACAAUGGGCGAAAGCCUGAUACAGCCAUGCCGCGUGUAUGAAGAAGGUCUUCGGGUUGUAAAGGACUUUAAGCGGGGAGGCGUUACCCGCAGAAGAAGCACCGGCUAACUCCGUGCCAGCAGCCGCGGUAAUUC
rnacentral:rRNA from 1 species